rnacentral:tRNA from 1 species
GGCCAUAUGGAGAAGCGGCUUAACUCACUACCCUUUCACGGUAGCAUUCUCGGGUUCGAAUCCCGAUAUGGUCACCA